CGGGGAGGGGAGGGGCGGGGCGGGGCGGGGAAGCCCGGGCGCCGGGCGGCGCGGGACCUCGGGUCCCCGGCCGUGGCUGCGUGGGAAGCGGCUCAACUCGGUGCACUUGUUCACUCUUUCUUCAUUGGAGGAGGAGCCAGUGUUGCAACCUUCAUGUUCCUUGCUGGAGGCAAAACAGUGAUUUUCUGCAGCAGGCGAAUGUCCAGAGCCUGCCAGUUUUGCGAGAACCCCGGAGGAGUAUCAAGGAGAUAUUCUAAAGGGAGCCUCUCAAGUUUCAAAACCAGAAGUUACUGGAACUCUGGGCUUUCCUCCUUUGAGGCCACUUUUGCUACCAUCCCGGAAUUACUGGCGAGUGAUAUUCAUUGGCGGCCACUUGCCAGGAUGCAGGAAGACGUUAGAAAUCCCAGGAUGCUCUGGUGAUCCUUCUGGACUAGAGACCCCCAGUUUUCAACAGAAAACAGGCCAGGAUGCCCGAGUGGGUGAGAGACUGCACAGAGAAGAGACAAGACUGCCACCUCCUCUGCAAACCUCACAGAAAUGACUCCACUGUCAGGAUUUCCUGGAGGGCCACCUUUGCACAUAUGUUUGAGAAGGUGAGUGGAUGUUUUUUGCAGUGUGGUAUGUGGAGAGCCAAAAGGGAAGGCUUUCAGCCCUGUAGUCGCAGGGAAUUUUCACCCUCUUAAAAGCACUGAGAACUCCUCUAAAAGCUUAUAUUUUGUAUGAAGAUAUUUACCAUCUUAGACAUUAAAAAUAAAAAAAUAGGGCAGCCCCA
rnacentral:lncRNA from 1 species